UACGUAUGGUGCAAGCGUUAUCCGGAUUUACUGGGCGUAAAGGGAGCGCAGGCGGCGCGCCAAGUCUGAUGUGAAACCCCGGGGCUCAACCCCGGGCAUGCAUUGGAAACUGGCGGGCUGGAGUGCCGGAGAGGUAAGAGGAAUUCCUAGUGUAGCGGUGAAAUGCGUAGAUAUUAGGAGGAACACCAGUGGCGAAGGCGGCUUACUGGACGGCAACUGACGCUGAGGCUCGAAAGCGUGGGGAGCAAACAGG
rnacentral:rRNA from 1 species